UCCCUGGUAGUAUAUCGGAUUAGUACACGCGCCUGUCAUCCCAAGAUUGUUUGUUGGACCGCGCGAGAGCGGGGUUCGACUCCCCGCCAGGGAG